GCGGGCGUAGCUCAGAGGAAGAGUCCCUGCUUCCCAUGCAGGUUGUCGUGGGUUCGAAUCCCAUCGCCCGCU
rnacentral:tRNA from 1 species